rnacentral:lncRNA from 1 species
CCACCUCUCACUUCCCCACUUCUUUUUACAACCAAGAGUCUACACAUAAAACAUUUUCACCCAUCCUUUCCAUCAGACAUUUGUGAUUUAAGCUUCAAGAGACUGGGGAAUAAUGCUCCUCUCUUGCUAUUUCAAUAGCCUUCUUAGGGUAAUACCAUCUUAUUGAACUCUUUGCAACCUGUCCUGGAAAGCCAAAUCCACAAUGAAUCUAAAACACAUGGCAAAGCAUGCUUUCCUGGAUAAAGCGACUCUUAUCUGCAAUGUGAUCAAAGCUGAACACACCUAGCACAUGAAAAUAUAGAAUAAAGAGAUAUUUGGUCUGGUUCUGACAGGAUCUCAUUCUCUACCACAUAGUCAACAAAACUCUGAGGUGGUCCUUAAGGCCUUCAAACAAGAUGGGUAUUGAAAGAAAAAGCCUCCAGUCCAAGUCAACUUGAUGAGUGAGUGUCUGGGUCUUCUACAGAACAUGCAAGUCAUUUUGUGUCUACCUCACAUAGUAAUAAUGUGGACAACACAAGAACAACAACCAAAUGCACAGUAAACUUAUAACCAAUUGCAAAGCUGCAUGUUGAUUUCCAGUGAGAGCAUACUGUUAUACAAACAAUUGGCACUUUAUAAAAUUCUGUUCUUCUUGGGCCGCCUGCAUGUGGGAAACAGUUUUGUAGCCCGGACUGUUUGUGAAGACCCUGACAGUGGGAGUGGGAUCUAUCCCCAGUGCAUGAGCUGGCUUUUUGAAGCCCACUCCAUACAGUGGAAUGUCUUGCUGAGCCUUAAGCGGGGGAGGGGGCUUGGUCCUGCCUCAACUGAAUGAGCCAGGUGUGGUUAACUCCCCAUGGGAAGCCUUACCCUUUCUGAGGAGUAGAUGGGGUGGGCUGAGGGAAAGUGGGGGGAGGGGAAGGAAGGGAGGGAACUGUGG